rnacentral:rRNA from 1 species
AGGAUGAACGCUAGCUACAGGCUUAACACAUGCAAGUCGAGGGGCAGCAUGGUCUUAGCUUGCUAAGGCCGAUGGCGACCGGCGCACGGGUGAGUAACACGUAUCCAACCUGCCGUCUACUCUUGGACAGCCUUCUGAAAGGAAGAUUAAUACAAGAUGGCAUCAUGAGUCCGCAUGUUCACAUGAUUAAAGGUAUUCCGGUAGACGAUGGGGAUGCGUUCCAUUAGAUAGUAGGCGGGGUAACGGCCCACCUAGUCUUCGAUGGAUAGGGGUUCUGAGAGGAAGGUCCCCCACAUUGGAACUGAGACACGGUCCAAACUCCUACGGGAGGCAGCAGUGAGGAAUAUUGGUCAAUGGGCGAGAGCCUGAACCAGCCAAGUAGCGUGAAGGAUGACUGCCCUAUGGGUUGUAAACUUCUUUUAUAAAGGAAUAAAGUCGGGUAUGGAUACCCGUUUGCAUGUACUUUAUGAAUAAGGAUCGGCUAACUCCGUGCCAGCGUCCGCGGCAAUACGGAGGAUCCGAGCGUUAUCCGGAUUUAUUGGGUUUAACGGGAGCGUACAUGGAUGUUUAAGUCAGUUGUGAAAGUUUGCGGCUCAACCGUAAAAAUUGCAGUUGAUACUGGAUAUCUUGAGUGCAGUUGAGGCAGGCGGAAUUCGUGGUGUAGCGGUGAAAUGCUUAGAUAUCACGAAGAACUCCGAUUGCGAAGGCAGCCUGCUAAGCUGCAACUGACAUUGAGGCUCGAAAGUGUGGGUAUCAAACAGGAUUAGAUACCCUGGUAGUCCACACGGUAAACGAUGAAUACUCGCUGUUUGCGAUAUACUGCAAGCGGCCAAGCGAAAGCGUUAAGUAUUCCACCUGGGGAGUACGCCGGCAACGGUGAAACUCAAAGGAAUUGACGGGGGCCCGCACAAGCGGAGGAACAUGUGGUUUAAUUCGAUGAUACGCGAGGAACCUUACCCGGGCUUAAAUUGCAGAUGAAUUACGGUGAAAGCCGUAAGCCGCAAGGCAUCUGUGAAGGUGCUGCAUGGUUGUCGUCAGCUCGUGCCGUGAGGUGUCGGCUUAAGUGCCAUAACGAGCGCAACCCUUGUUGUCAGUUACUAACAGGUUCCGCUGAGGACUCUGACAAGACUGCCAUCGUAAGAUGUGAGGAAGGUGGGGAUGACGUCAAAUCAGCACGGCCCUUACGUCCGGGGCUACACACGUGUUACAAUGGGGGGUACAGAGGGCCGCUACCACGCGAGUGGAUGUCAAUCCCCAAAACCUCUCUCAGUUCGGACUGGAGUCUGCAACCCGACUCCACGAAGCUGGAUUCGCUAGUAAUCGCGCAUCAGCCACGGCGCGGUGAAUACGUUCCCGGGCCUUGUACACACCGCCCGUCAAGCCAUGGGAGCCGGGGGUACCUGAAGUGCGUAACCGCGAGGAGCGCCCUAGGGUA